rnacentral:rRNA from 1 species
GAUGAACGCUAGCUACAGGCUUAACACAUGCAAGUCGAGGGGAAACGAUGAGAGAGCUUGCUCUCUUAGGCGUCGACCGGCGCACGGGUGAGUAACGCGUAUCCAACCUACCCAUUACAGGGGGAUAACCUUGCGAAAGUAAGACUAAUACCCCAUGGCAUUUUAUGGUGGCAUCAUUAUAGGAUUAAAGAUUUAUUGGUAAUGGAUGGGGAUGCGUCUGAUUAGCUUGUUGGCGGGGUAACGGCCCACCAAGGCAACGAUCAGUAGGGGUUCUGAGAGGAAGGUCCCCCACAUUGGAACUGAGACACGGUCCAAACUCCUCCGGGAGGCAGCAGUGAGGAAAAUUGGCCAAUGGGCGGGGGCUUAACCCGGCAAAGUAGGGUGCAGGAUGCCGGCCCUUUGGUUUUUAACCUGUUUUUAUAGGGGAAAAAAGUGGGCUCCUUUUAUUUUAUUGCAUGUCCCCUAUGAAUAAGGACCGGCUAAUUCCGU